rnacentral:tRNA from 1 species
ACGGCGCGUGGUGAACGCGCUGCGCGAGCAGGGCGCGCGGCCGAUCGUGAUCACCGCGGCCGGACGGUUCCACGCCGUCGCGCCGGACCA